GGUGAUUUAAAGAGAUGGGGUGUUGGAGAAGUGGCUAAGCCAGAACAGAGCUCUCAAAGGUGAAAGUAGCGCUUCAUUAAAGAGGUCCGAGGAAAGAGUUCACUCCUGCUGUUAAGAAACAGUAAGAAAACAGCCUGUGAAACCAAGGGACCGUUAGCAGACACCAAGUCAGUGGCUGCAUUACCUUUGACUUCCCAGGUGGAGGAGAAAUGUUUAAAAAGAACUGAUGUAAUCUAACCUUAUAUCUUUAAAAAAAAUCCCCUAGCUGGUGUAGCAGCACACACCUAUAAUUCCAGUACUUAGGAGACAGAGGCAGGAGGAUUGCUGCAAGUCAAAGGUCAAUCUGAGAUAUAUAGUAAGUUCCAAGCUGAGCUGAUCUAUAGUGAUACCCUGUCUCAACCAAACUAGCCAGGAAUGGAGGCACGGUCCUGUAACUCCGUUAUUUGGGAUGCUGAGGGAGGAGUGGGAAUUCAUGGGCAUCUUCAGCUUUUUAGCAAGUUUGAGGCCAGCCUGAACUAUAUCAGACCCUAACUCCACAAACUAGUCAAACGAACAAAAAUUACCAAAAUGAAACUUCUUGCUGUAACUUCUAUAAGUAGUACCAGUGUGCAAUGACACACACAUUCCCAUUGCAAUGCUCUUCUCAAAUAAAUACCAUUCUUUUAAACAGAGGUUGACACUUGGCUUGCUGCAUGGCAUCCACUGAGAGGUUGACAUUUGUUUUGUGCAGGGUGUCUACUGAUCUUUCCUUGUGUGCAGCUUCCAGGGAUCUCUCCAGACUCCCUUUACAUUUUAUCUUCAACCAUCUGGGCAGUUCUUUAUGCCCUAAUCCUCCUCCUCCCAGCUAAAUACAGAUGCUAUCAAGAUGGAGAACUCUUGGUUCCUCCAACGUCUGCCUGCUCGCUGCAAUGCUUCCCACCAUGAUGGACUGAACCUCUAAAACUGUAAGCCAGCCACAAUUAAAUGUUUUCCUUUAUAAAACUUGCUGUGGUCAUGGCUCUUUGCUCCAAUGAGACCCUAACUAAGACAAUAACCUAGUAAAUUCGUCUCCAUUAC
ensembl:lncRNA